UGCAAGUCGAGGGGUAUAGGUUUUCGGACCUAGAGACCGGCGCACGGGUGCGUAACGCGUAUGCAAUCUACCUUUUACAGAGGGAUAGCCCAGAGAAAUUUGGAUUAAUACCUCAUAGUAUUAUGAAGUGGCAUCAUUUUAUAAUUAAAGUACCAACGGUAAAAGAUGAGCAUGCGUCCCAUUAGCUAGAUGGUAAGGUAACGGCUUACCAUGGCGACGAUGGGUAGGGGUCCUGAGAGGGAGAUCCCCCACACUGGUACUGAGACACGGACCAGACUCCUACGGGAGGCAGCAGUGAGGAAUAUUGGUCAAUGGGCGCAAGCCUGAACCAGCCAUGCCGCGUGCAGGAUGAAGGUCCUAUGGAUUGUAAACUGCUUUUAUACGGGAAGAAACACUCCCUCGUGAGGGAAUUUGACGGUACCGUAAGAAUAAGGAUCGGCUAACUCCGUGCCAGCAGCCGCGGUAAUACGGAGGAUCCAAGCGUUAUCCGGAAUCAUUGGGUUUAAAGGGUCCGUAGGCGGUUUUAUAAGUCAGUGGUGAAAUCCAGUCGCUCAACGAUUGAACGGCCAUUGAUACUGUAAGACUUGAAUUAUUAGGAAGUAACUAGAAUAUGUAGUGUAGCGGUGAAAUG
rnacentral:rRNA from 1 species